ensembl:lncRNA
UUGAAAAUUGUUGUGCUGCUUAAAAUAUUUGUGGAAAUCAUUACACAUUUUUUUUCUUUCAGGAUUCUUUGAUAAAUAGAACGAUGAAAAGAACAGUAUUUAUUUGAAAUAGAAAUCUUUUAUAGCAUUAUAAAUGUCUUUACUGUCAUCCUUGUUGAAUUAAAGUGUUAAUUUCUUGAAAAAAAAAGUACUGACCCCAAAAUUUUGAAUGGUAGUGUUACUAGUGUAGCUUAUUAGCAAGUCAGCUGGUUAGACUGAGACAUUGUAUAAUGUUAUGUAUAUUUUUAAUAACUGGAUAUUUUUUAUAUUUUGCAUCUCUUUCUUUUUUUAGUCCUUUUUUAGGCCUGAAAUAUACUCUUUACAAGUAUGUCAAUGCAAACACUUCUAACACCAAUGUGUCAUUUAAUAAGACUAAAUUCUAUUUGUUUAAUAUGUCAUUAGCAUUGCCAUAGGGGGCUAUUGAUCAUGUUUAUGGUCUUAACGGAGUAACAUUUGAAAGUAAAUCUUUCUGGGCAACUUAGAGUAGUUGAAUUUGGCAAGUUUAUAACUAGGUACUGAAUGUAACUCUUUUCUGCACUCUUUUGUACAUAAAUUCCUUAAAGCAACUCGAAAGCACUGUGUUGCAUUCGCCAACUUGCAUAAAGUGUGUUUCUGGCCUUAUAAUUGUUGUACCCCUGAGAUUUGUAUGUUUUGUAUGCAAGAGAAAGAUACUAUAUUUUGUUUACUAAUGUUUCUAAAUGUGUUCUAUAUGACCUGUUGUUCCCAUUUCAAGACUAUAUGUCAUUUUUUAGGAGGAUGCACUUUAAGGAGAACAGUAUGACGGUCAUGUGGUUAGACAGCAGAUACGCUGAUAGGAGCUGACUGUUCCUACAAUUGUACAGUAUGAACAAUACUAUUAGUUGCUGCUGUGGUAUAUUCAUUAAUACUUUAUGACCAUAAACCUUUAAACAUGCAUUAUUACUUUCUGACCAUGAACCCUUCAUCACAUAUCAUUACAGUUUGAUAAUAAACCCUACAGAUCAGUUCUGAAGUCA